rnacentral:miRNA from 1 species
GCAAAUAUAUAUAUGUGUGUGUGUGUAUAUAUAUACACACAUACAUAUAUAUACAUAUAUAUGUGAAUAUAUACAUACACACACACAUACAUACACACAUAUAUAUCU